GCUGGCGGCAUGCCUUACACAUGCAAGUCGAACGGCAGCACGGGGGCAACCCUGGUGGCGAGUGGCGAACGGGUGAGUAAUACAUCGGAACGUGUCCUGGAGUGGGGGAUAGCCCGGCGAAAGCCGGAUUAAUACCGCAUACGCUCUAUGGAGGAAAGGGGGGGAUCUUCGGACCUCUCGCUCAAGGGGCGGCCGAUGGCAUAUUAGCUAGUUGGUGGGGUAAAGGCCUACCAAGGCGACGAUCUGUAGCUGGUCUGAGAGGACGACCAGCCACACUGGGACUGAGACACGGCCCAGACUCCUACGGGAGGCAGCAGUGGGGAAUUUUGGACAAUGGGCGCAAGCCUGAUCCAGCAAUGCCGCGUGUGUGAAGAAGGCCUUCGGGUUGUAAAGCACUUUUGUCCGGGAAGAAAACUUCUGUCCUAAUACGGCGGGGGGAUGACGGUACCUGAAGAAUAAGCACCGGCUAACUACGUGCCA
rnacentral:rRNA from 1 species